rnacentral:rRNA from 1 species
AGCGAACGCUGGCGGCAGGCUUAACACAUGCAAGUCGAACGCCCCGCAAGGGGAGUGGCAGACGGGUGAGUAACACGUGGGAACGUACCCUUUGGUUCGGAAUAACUUGGGGAAACUCAAGCUAAUACCGGAUAAGCCCUUAUGGGGAAAGGUUUACUGCCGAAGGAUCGGCUCGCGUCUGAUUAGCUAGUUGGUGAGGUAAUGGCUCACCAAGGCGACGAUCAGUAGCUGGUCUGAGAGGAUGAACAGCCACACUGGGACUGAGACACGGACCAGACUCCUACGGGAGGCAGCAGUGGGGAAUAUUGGACAAUGGGGGCAACCCUGAUCCAGCCAUGCCGCGUGAGUGAUGAAGGCCUUAGGGUUGGAAAGCUCUUUUACCCGGGACGAUAAUGGCUGUACCGGGAGAAUAAGCCCCGGCUAACUUCGUGCCAGCAGCCGCCGUAA